CUAACACAUGCAAGUCGAACGAGAUCUUCGGAUCUAGUGGCGCACGGGUGCGUAACGCGUGGGAAUCUGCCCUUGGGUUCGGAAUAACAGUUAGAAAUGACUGCUAAUACCGGAUGAAGUCUACGGACCAAAGAUUUAUCGCCCAGGGAUGAGCCCGCGUAGGAUUAGCUAGUUGGUGGGGUAAAGGCCUACCAAGGCGACGAUCCUUAGCUGGUCUGAGAGGAUGAUCAGCCACACUGGGACUGAGACACGGCCCAGACUCCUACGGGAGGCAGCAGUGGGGAAUAUUGGACAAUGGGGGCAACCCUGAUCCAGCAAUGCCGCGUGAGUGAUGAAGGCCUUCGGGUCGUAAAGCUCUUUUACCCGGGAUGAUAAUGACAGUACCGGGAGAAUAAGCCCCGGCUAACUCCGUGCCAGCAG
rnacentral:rRNA from 1 species